rnacentral:rRNA from 1 species
GGGUUGUGAGGUUAAGCGACUAAGCGUACACGGUGGAUGCCCUGGCAGUCAGAGGCGAUGAAGGGCGUGCUAAUCUGCGAUAAGCGCCGGUAAGGUGAUAUGAACCGUUAUAACCGGCGAUACCCGAAUGGGGAAACCCAGUGUGACUCGUCACACUAUCAUUAACUGAAUCCAUAGGUUAAUGAGGCGAACCGGGGGAACUGAAACAUCUAAGUACCCCGAGGAAAAGAAAUCAACCGAGAUUCCCCCAGUAGCGGCGAGCGAACGGGGAGGAGCCCAGAGCCUGAAUCAGCAUGUGUGUUAGUGGAAGCGUCUGGAAAGGCGCGCGAUACAGGGUGACAGCCCCGUACACAAAAGCGCAUGUGCUGUGAGCUCGAUGAGUAGGGCGGGACACGUGGUAUCCUGUCUGAAUAUGGGGGGACCAUCCUCCAAGGCUAAAUACUCCUGACUGACCGAUAGUGAACCAGUACCGUGAGGGAAAGGCGAAAAGAACCCCGGCGAGGGGAGUGAAAAAGAACCUGAAACCGUGUACGUACAAGCAGUGGGAGCCCCACCACCAAAGCAUUUGCUGUACCGCGUUGACGGAGCGAAGCGACGUCAAACCGAUAAAACAGCAGUGUAAAGUGAGCCGCAGGGCGCUUUGCGCGACAGCGCAAAGGCAGGCGGUUUCGCGUAGCGAAAGCGAAUGCUUUGGGGUGGGGUGACUGCGUACCUUUUGUAUAAUGGGUCAGCGACUUAUAUUCUGUAGCAAGGUUAACCGAAUAGGGGAGCCGGAGGGAAACCGAGUCUUAAUUGGGCGUUAAGUUGCAGGGUAUAGACCCGAAACCCGGUGAUCUAGCCAUGGGCAGGUUGAAGGUUGGGUAACACUAACUGGAGGACCGAACCGACUAAUGUUGAAAAAUUAGCGGAUGACCUGUGGCUGGGGGUGAAAGGCCAAUCAAACCGGGAGAUAGCUGGUUCUCCCCGAAAGCUAUUUAGGUAGCGCCUCGUGAAUUCAUCUCCGGGGGUAGAGCACUGUUUCGGCUAGGGGGCCAUCCCGGCUUACCAACCCGAUGCAAACUGCGAAUACCGGAGAAUGUUAUCACGGGAGACACACGGCGGGUGCUAACGUCCGUCGUGAAGAGGGAAACAACCCAGACCGCCAGCUAAGGUCC